AGUUGUGUGUGUGUGUGUGUGUAUAUAUGUUUCAUUUCUGUGACUAGGCAAAUCCUAAGCAGAGUCACUGCUCUAAAAUUUUAUGGUAGCUAAAAGAAGCAUAUAUACACACACACACACACACAACUCUUCAAAUACCUAUCUAGGUUUGCUAAACUAAUAUGCUUAACCAGAAAUUCAUCCUCUACCUUCUACAACCUACAAGGGGAAAAAAAUCAUUGAUAUCAAAAUGUGAGAAACAUUAAUGGCAAAACCCAGCACACCUUACAAUAUGAAUCAUAAAAUUGGUGGAGGUGGAGUCUCCCAUAUAUCAAAGACAUUUUCUUCACUGUGAAGUGCAAAGAGUCUAUCGCCACCGAUUGAAAAAUCGCAAAUUGAACCUCCAUAUAAUUGUCGAAAUCUAGAUGUCAAUACCCAGUCAGGACCACAAAACACAGAAAUGCAAUCAUCCAUUGAUGAAAACAACAGCCCCUCAUGUAAUGCCAGUUUUGGAUAACAAGGUUCAUCAGGCAUCUUCCCCUUCAUCAAACGACUCCUCGAGCUCCACCUUACACUCCCUCCACUCAUCCUUAAAUCUAUAAACCCCAAAUCCUCAUACUCAUUCACUACACAAACAGCAUUACAAUCCUCCAUAGCUAUGGCAUCUCGAACCCUUUUCUCAUCCACGGUAAUAGGAGCAUCAAUAUCAGACCAAGACCACACCAUUCUCUUCUCUCUAAAAUCCAACAUGCUAAUGUAACAGUUGUCCUUUCUAGGAAA
rnacentral:misc_RNA from 1 species